rnacentral:rRNA from 1 species
UACGAAGGGGGCUAGCGUUGUUCGGAAUUACUGGGCGUAAAGCGCGCGCAGGCGGUCUUCCAAGUCAGUGGUGAAAGCCCGGAGCUCAACUCCGGAACUGCCAUUGAAACUGUGAGACUGGAGCACGAGAGAGGUGAGUGGAAUUCCCAGUGUAGAGGUGAAAUUCGUAGAUAUUGGGAAGAACACCGGUGGCGAAGGCGGCUCACUGGCUCGUAACUGACGCUGAGGCGCGAAAGCGUGGGGAGCAAACAGG